CCGCUGUCUGGUGCCAGCAGCCGCGUCUGGUUGAUCCUGCCAGUAGUCAUAUGCUUGUCUCAAAGAUUAAGCCAUGCAUGUCUCAGUGCAAGCCGUCCAGUACGGUGAAACCGCGAAAGGCUCAUUAAAUCAGUUAUGGUUCCUUAGAUCGUACCCACGUUACUUGGAUAACUGUGGUAAUUCUAGAGCUAAUACAUGCCGACAGAGUUCCGACCAACUGUACGGAUGGGCGGCGGCUUCGGUCGUCGUCGCCGUACGGUUCGGAAGGAACGCUUUUAUUAGAUCAAAACCGGCUAAACGGCGGUUACGCUUCGCGCGUUUCCGUCGUAAGCGGCCCGCGCAAAGAUUUGGUGACUCUGAAUAACUUCGAGCUGAUCGCACGGUCCUCGUACCGGCGACGUAUCUUUCAAAUGUCUGCCUUAUCAACUGUCGACGGUAGGUUCGACGCCUACCGUGGUGGUAACGGGUAACGGGGAAUCAGGGUUCGAUUCCGGAGAGGGAGCCUGAGAAACGGCUACCACAUCCAAGGAAGGCAGCAGGCGCGCAAAUUACCCACUCCCAGCUCGGGGAGGUAGUGACGAAAAAUAACGAUACGGGACUCAUUCGAGGCCCCGUAAUCGGAAUGAGUACACUUUAAAACCUUGGUCACACGAGGAUCAAUUGGAGGGCAAGUCUGGUGCCAG
rnacentral:rRNA from 1 species